rnacentral:misc_RNA from 1 species
CCUAGAGUUGUAGGCUUUGCCUGCUAUCUCUUACCCAUGUCUUUUGAGUACCUUCGUUUCCUCGGCGGGUCCGCCCGCCGAUUGGACAAUUUAAACCAUCUGCAGUUGCAAUCAGCGUCUGAAAAAACUUAAUAGGUUA